rnacentral:rRNA from 1 species
GAUGAACGCUGGCGGCGUGCUUAACACAUGCAAGUCGAACGAUUAAAGCCCCUUCGGGGGUGUAUAAAGUGGCGAACGGGUGAGUAACACGUGGGCAAUCUGCCCCUCACUUCGGGAUAACUCAGGGAAACUUGUGCUAAUACCGAAUGUGCCCUUCGGGGGAAAGAUUUAUCGCCUUUAGAGCGGCCCGCGUCUGAUUAGCUAGUUGGUAGUGUAAUGGACUACCAAGGCGACGAUCAGUAGCUGGUCUGAGAGGAUGAUCAGCCACAUUGGGACUGAGACACGGCCCAAACUCCUACGGGAGGCAGCAGUGGGGAAUCUUGCGCAAUGGGCGAAAGCCUGACGCAGCCAUGCCGCGUGAAUGAUGAAGGUCUUAGGAUUGUAAAAUUCUUUCACCGGGGACGAUAAUGACGGUACCCGGAGAAGAAGCCCCGGCUAACUUCGUGCCAGCCGCCGCGGUAAUAC